UAGACUCUGAGGCUCAGAUCCAACUGUGUCACUCUACAGGGAUUCUGUCAGGAGAAAACACAGAAGGUGUGUUAGGAGCACAGAUGGCAGACAAGAGCCUUGAGAAUCUGGUCCUCCCCAUCCUUGGCCAGUUUUGACAUUGGACUCCUGUUUUAGUGAAACCCAAGAGUCCCUAGCCACCUGGAAGAACUAACAGGUAAUUAAUGAAACCAAAGGCCCAACCACUGCUUAAUGACCCACAGAAUGCUAUUUCCAUGGUCAGCAU
rnacentral:lncRNA from 1 species